GGCUCAGGAUGAACGCUAGCGACAGGCUUAACACAUGCAAGUCGAGGGGCAGCACAGGUAGCAAUACCGGGUGGCGACCGGCGCACGGGUGAGUAACGCGUAUGCAACUUGCCUAUCAGAGGGGGAUAACCCGGCGAAAGUCGGACUAAUACCGCAUGAAGCAGGGAUCCCGCAUGGGAAUAUUUGCUAAAGAUUCAUCGCUGAUAGAUAGGCAUGCGUUCCAUUAGGCAGUUGGCGGGGUAACGGCCCACCAAACCGACGAUGGAUAGGGGUUCUGAGAGGAAGGUCCCCCACAUUGGUACUGAGACACGGACCAAACUCCUACGGGAGGCAGCAGUGAGGAAUAUUGGUCAAUGGCCGAGAGGCUGAACCAGCCAAGUCGCGUGAGGGAUGAAGGUUCUAUGGAUCGUAAACCUCUUUUAUAAGGGAAUAAAGUGCGGGACGUGUCCCGUUUUGUAUGUACCUUAUGAAUAAGGAUCGGCUAACUCCGUGCCAGCAGCCGCGGUAAUACGGAGUAUCCGAGCGUUAUCCGGAUUUAUUGGGUUUAAAGGGUGCGUAGGCGGCCUUUUAAGUCAGCGGUGAAAGUCUGUGGCUCAACCAUAGAAUUGCCGUUGAAACUGGGGGGCUUGAGUAUGUUUGAGGCAGGCGGAAUGCGUGGUGUAGCGGUGAAAUGCAUAGAUAUCACGCAGAACCCCGAUUGCGAAGGCAGCCUGCCAAGCCAUUACUGACGCUGAUGCACGAAAGCGUGGGGAUCAAACAGGAUUAGAUACCCUGGUAGUCCACGCAGUAAACGAUGAUCACUAGCUGUUUGCGAUACACUGUAAGCGGCACAGCGAAAGCGUUAAGUGAUCCACCUGGGGAGUACGCCGGCAACGGUGAAACUCAAAGGAAUUGACGGGGGCCCGCACAAGCGGAGGAACAUGUGGUUUAAUUCGAUGAUACGCGAGGAACCUUACCCGGGUUUGAACGCAUUCGGACCGAGGUGGAAACACCUUUUCUAGCAAUAGCCGUUUGCGAGGUGCUGCAUGGUUGUCGUCAGCUCGUGCCGUGAGGUGUCGGCUUAAGUGCCAUAACGAGCGCAACCCUUGCCACUAGUUACUAACAGGUAAAGCUGAGGACUCUGGUGGGACUGCCAGCGUAAGCUGCGAGGAAGGCGGGGAUGACGUCAAAUCAGCACGGCCCUUACAUCCGGGGCGACACACGUGUUACAAUGGCGUGGACAAAGGGAAGCCACCUGGCGACAGGGAGCGAAUCCCCAAACCACGUCUCAGUUCGGAUCGGAGUCUGCAACCCGACUCCGUGAAGCUGGAUUCGCUAGUAAUCGCGCAUCAGCCAUGGCGCGGUGAAUACGUUCCCGGGCCUUGUACACACCGCCCGUCAAGCCAUGGGAGCCGGGGGUACCUGAAGUCCGUAACCGCGAGGAUCGGCCUAGGGUA
rnacentral:rRNA from 1 species